rnacentral:rRNA from 1 species
UAGGGAAUCUUCCGCAAUGGACGCAAGUCUGACGGAGCAACGCCGCGUGAGUGAAGAAGGAUUUCGGUUCGUAAAACUCUGUUGUUAGAGAAGAACAAAUGUGUAAGUAACUAUGCACAUCUUGACGGUACCUAAUCAGAAAGCCACGGCUAACUACGUGCCAGCAGCCGCGGUAAUACGUAGGUGGCAAGCGUUAUCCGGAAUUAUUGGGCGUAAAGCGCGCGUAGGCGGUUUUUUAAGUCUGAUGUGAAAGCCCACGGCUCAACCGUGGAGGGUCAUUGGAAACUGGAAAACUUGAGUGCAGAAGAGGAAAGUGGAAUUCCAUGUGUAGCGGUGAAAUGCGCAGAGAUAUGGAGGAACACCAGUGGCGAAGGCGACUUUCUGGUCUGUAACUGACGCUGAUGUGCGAAAGCGUGGGGAUCAAACAGG